GAGUUUGAUCAUGGCUCAGAUUGAACGCUGGCGGCAGGCCUAACACAUGCAAGUCGAGCGGAUGAAGGGAGCUUGCUCCUGGAUUCAGCGGUGGACGGGUGAGUAAUGCCUAGGAAUCUGCCUGGUAGUGGGGGAUAACGUCCGGAAACGGGCGCUAAUACCGCAUACGUCCUGAGGGAGAAAGUGGGGGAUCUUCGGACCUCACGCUAUCAGAUGAGCCUAGGUCGGAUUAGCUAGUUGGUGGGUAAAGGCCUACCAAGGCGACGAUCCGUAACUGGUCUGAGAGGAUGAUCAGUCACACUGGAACUGAGACACGGUCCAGACUCCUACGGGAGGCAGCAGUGGGAUAUUGGACAAUGGGCGAAAGCCUGAUCCAGCCAUGCCGCGUGUGUG
rnacentral:rRNA from 1 species